GACGAAGGGGGCUAGCGUUAAUCGGAAUUACUGGGCGUAAAGCGUGCGCAGGCGGUUUUGUAAGCCAGAUGUGAAAUCCCCGGGCUUAACCUGGGAAUGGCAUUUGUGACUGCAUCGCUGGAGUGCGGCAGAGGGGGAUGGAAUUCCGCGUGUAGCAGUGAAAUGCGUAGAUAUGCGGAGGAACACCGAUGGCGAAGGCAAUCCCCUGGGCCUGCACUGACGCUCAUGCACGAAAGCGUGGGGAGCAAACAGG
rnacentral:rRNA from 1 species